rnacentral:rRNA from 1 species
GGCUCAGAACGAACGCUGGCGGCGUGCUUAACACAUGCAAGUCGGAUGCGAACGGCGCUUUCGGGCGUUGAGUAGCAUGGCAGACGGGUGAGGAGCGCGUAUCUGACUGGACUCAGGCUGGGGGAUAGUCCCUCGAAAGGGGGUUGAAUACCGCAUGUGCUCGGUGCUGUGAGGGCAUCGAGGAAAGUUGGCCUCUGCGGGCACGCUGAUGGCCUGAGACAGGGAUGCGUCCUAUUAGCUAGCUGGUGGGGUAAGGGCCUACCAGGGCGACGAUGGGUAGCUGGUCUGAGAGGAUGAUCAGCCACACUGGGACUGCGACACGGCCCAGACUCCUACGGGAGGCAGCAGUGGGGAAUUUUGCGCAAUGGGCGCAAGCCUGACGCAGCAACGCCGCGUGCAUGACGACGCCUUUCGAGGUGUAAAGUGCUGUCGACCGGGACGAAGGGGCGAGGGUGAACAGCUUUCGCGCAUGACGGUACCGGUGGAGGAAGCCCCGGCUAACUCCGUGCCAGCAGCCGCGGUAAGACGGAGGGGGCGAGCGUUGUUCGGAAUUACUGGGCGUAAAGCGCGCGUAGGCGGUGCAGCAAGUGGUGCGUGAAAGCCCUCGGCUUAACCGGGGACGGGCGUGCCAAACUGUUGGACUGGAGUGCCGGAGGGGGAGGCGGAAUUCCUGGUGGAGCGGUGAAAUGCGUAGAGAUCAGGAAGAACGUCGGUGGCGAAGGCGGCCUCCUGGACGGACACUGACGCUGAGGUGCGACAGCGUGGGGAGCGAACGGGAUUAGAUACCCCGGUAGUCCACGCCGUAAACGAUGGGUACUAGGUGUGGGGCUUGUGAUGAGGCCCGUGCCGGAGCUAACGCAGUAAGUACCCCGCCUGGGGAGUACGGUCGC